GACUGUGCUUGCUUUUGUUUUAUACUAAAAUUGGAACUAAACAAAGAUUAGCAUGGCUCCUGUGCAAGAAUAACAUGCAAAUUUUUGAGGUUUUUUUUUUUUUU